AAGCUCGUAGUUGAAUUUCGGGAUUAUUGCGCCGGUCGUGCCUUCGGUAUGUACUGGUGUUACUGAUUCCUACCUUCUGACGAACCGUCAUGUCAUUAAUUUGGUGUGGCGGGGAAUCAGGACUGUUACUUUGAAAAAAUUAGAGUGUUUAAAGCAGGCUCGCGCUUGAAUACAUUAGCAUGGAAUAAUGAAAUAGGACGUUCGAUCCUAUUUUGUUGGUUUCUAGGAUUGACGUAAUGAUUAAUAGGGAUAGUUGGGGGCAUUAGUAUUCAAUUGUCAGAGGUGAAAUUCUUGGAUUUAUUGAAGACUAACUACUGCGAAAGCAUUUGCCAAGGAUGUUUUCAUUAAUCAAGAACGAAAGUUAGGGGAUCGAAGACGAUCAGAUACCGUCGUAGUCUUAACCAUAAACUAUGCCGACUAGGAAUCGGGCGAUGUUGAAAAAAUGACGCGCUCGGCACCUCAUGGGAAACCAAAGUGUUUGGGUUCCGGGGGGAGUAUGGUCGCAAGGCUGAAACUUAAAGGAAUUGACGGAAGGGCACCACCAGGGGUGGAGCCUGCGGCUUAAUUUGACUCAACACGGGAAAA
rnacentral:rRNA from 1 species